CAAACAGACCUGAACCACAAAAUAGGGAAGUGAGGGGGACUUGAAUGGCCUGUGUCUUCAAAGUCUUGAGCUGUGGAAUGCAUCAAAGUGCCAGAAGCCACAGAACACCAGGGGAUGUCAACAAGGUGUCAGGGACUCCUGGGGAGGUGGACUGGGACCUAUCUACUUGUUAUCUCCUGGGAAGCAACCAGCUCAGAUGAGCAGAAAAUGGAUCUCCUUCUCCCAGGAGCUCAUUUAACUGAUUUUGAAAUAUGUCUGAUUCCAGCGUUAGGACAAACUUCAGCCUGUUGCUAACAGGGAGUUCUCUGUUGGGUUUUACUAGGGAACUGAUGGACAUGGAAGCUAAAGUCAGUACUAAAGAGGAAACCAACUUCCCAAGCAGUUGCUGUUGACUGAUGACAGCGAGUCCAGUACCAUCGCCACCUCUGGACCAUACAGCAG
rnacentral:lncRNA from 1 species